AGAGUUUGAUCCUGGCUCAGAACGAACGCUGGCGGCAGGCUUAAUACAUGCAAGUCGAACGGCUGUAGCAAUACAGCAGUGGCAGACGGGUGAGUAACACGUGGGAACCUACCUAGGGG
rnacentral:rRNA from 1 species